rnacentral:rRNA from 1 species
UACGAAGGGUGCAAGCGUUACUCGGAAUUACUGGGCGUAAAGGGUGCGUAGGUGGUGAUGUAAGUCUGGUGUGAAAUCUCGGAGCUCAACUCCGAAAUUGCACCGGAUACUGCGUGACUCGAGGAGUGUAGAGGAGAUCGGAAUUCACGGUGUAGCAGUGAAAUGCGUAGAUAUCGUGAGGAAGACCAGUUGCGAAGGCGGAUCUCUGGGCAGUUCCUGACACUGAGGCACGAAGGCCAGGGGAGCAAACGGG